UCCUUAUCUAAUUUUGAUUGUUGCUCAGAAAGCCCUCAUUAAAUAUCAGUUGGCUUUCGAGCUGCAAUUAAAAACAAAUAAGUG
rnacentral:pre_miRNA from 2 species